rnacentral:rRNA from 1 species
AUAAUAACUUCUCGAAUCGCAUGGGCCUUGUUGUUGGCGAUGCUUCAUUCAAAUCAUCUGCCUAUCAACUUUCGAUGGUAGGAUAGAGGCUACCAUGGUGUUCAACGGGUAACGGGGAAUAAGGGUUCGAUUCCGGAGAGGGAGCCUGAGAAACGGCUACCACAUCCAAGGAAGGCAGCAGGCGCGCAAAUUACCCAAUCCCGACACGGGGAGGUAGUGACAAUAAAUAACAAUAUCAGGGCCCUUUUGGGUCUUAUAAUUGGAAUGAGUACAAUUUAAAUCCCUUAACGAGGAACAAUUGGAGGGCAAGUCUCGGUGCAAGGCAGCCCGCGGUAAUUUCCAAGGUCCAAUUAACGUGAUAUUAUCAAACAUGUCGUGUGCGCAUGUUAAAAGACGCUCGAUAAGUUGAACUUCAGACACUGGCUGGAUCGGUCUGCCCGAAAGGGUAUGUACUUGUCCGGACUGGGCCUUAACUCUUGGUGAGCCGGCAUGCCCUUCAUUGGGUGUGUCGAGGAAACCAGGACUUUUACCUUGAGAAAAUUAGAGUGUUCAAAAGCAGGCUUAUGCCUUGAAAUACAUUAGGCAUGGAAUAAUAAAAUAGGACG